GAAGCAGUCGGCGAGAAACAGCACGAACAGGGGCAAGCAAGUUCUUGCGGGGACCCAUGGUCGUAAGUCUUACUCUCAGUACGUCCACCAGGAGAAGGUUGAAAAAAACAAGGACGUGGACUUGGUGGAUUUGUUCGAGAUUAAGCACAAGAAGAAGAAGGAUAAACAAUGGGAACACCCGAUGGCUGAAGAAAUACAUUCUCAGCUCAAGAAGAAGAAGGAGGAG